rnacentral:rRNA from 1 species
GACGAACGCUGGCGGCGUGCUUAACACAUGCAAGUCGAACGGAAAGGCCCUGCUUUUGUGGGGUGCUCGAGUGGCGAACGGGUGAGUAACACGUGAGUAACCUGCCCUUGACUUUGGGAUAACUUCAGGAAACUGGGGCUAAAACCGGAUAGGAGCUCCUGCUGCAUGGUGGGGGUUGGAAAGUUUCGGCGGUUGGGGAUGGACUCGCGGCUUAUCAGCUUGUUGGUGGGGUAGUGGCUUACCAAGGCUUUGACGGGUAGCCGGCCUGAGAGGGUGACCGGCCACAUUGGGACUGAGAUACGGCCCAGACUCCUACGGGAGGCAGCAGUGGGGAAUAUUGCACAAUGGGCGGAAGCCUGAUGCAGCAACGCCGCGUGCGGGAUGGCGGCCUUCGGGUUGUAAACCGCUUUCGCCUGUGACGAAGCGUGAGUGACGGUAAUGGGUAAAGAAGCACCGGCUAACUACGUG